rnacentral:lncRNA from 1 species
AUACAUUCAUCUAUAACACUAUCUGCAAAGUAACUUUAUCGAUCUUUCGACACUGUUACUAAUCACUUGACGAUCUUGUCCUCUGUUAUCGAGUUCAGAUUAUUUUCGGAAGCUGAUAUUGAAGAUGCAACAGACAAUCAGGCAAACAAACCACCAUGAAGCACUAAGGGAGUUUUAAAGUAUGGUGAUCAAUUUAUCAAAAUCCCCAAAGACAAACAAUUAAAGAAGGACGAAUCCUGUAACAAUGGAUUAAAGAUUGACAGGACACGACUCAUCCUGAAAUUAUGAUGUAUGCAUGUAGGGUUGGCAACGAUUUGGUUAUAGGUCGGUUUCGGCCAAAAUCAUAACCACGCUACCAAUUUUUUGACCAUACCAUAAUCGUACCAUGACCACGUAAAUCGGUUCAGUUCGGUUCGGCACGGUUCGGUUCGGUUAAUAACCAUGAAAAUAAAUUAUUUUUUAUAGGUUCAUCUGUCAAAUUGAUAUAAAACAAUUUAUGAAAAAAGCCAAUGAAAACAAAAACACAAUAUUCCAAACGAAAAUACAAACAUUAUCAAACAAUAUUCCAAAUGUAAAUGCAAGCAUUAUCCUAAUUUUCAAUUGUAAAAUACAAAUUUAACAAACAAUAUUAUAAAUAUAAUAAUACUAAACUUUUCCUUCAUUAUUAAUUGUUGUGCAUCGAAGUUACUUGAUUCAUUCUUCCCUACAAGUCUUACUAGCAUAGAUUAGCAUUCAAAGUUGAUUCCUUUUCAUACUGACACGUCUAGAAAAACAUCAAACUCUUUUUUUACAUGAUCAGCAGU